rnacentral:ncRNA from 2 species
UGACCUAUUUCUGGAAAAAUCUCCUUAAUUAGCAUGAAGAGUGAGCAGAGGGAGGAGAUGACCUACCCCUCUCCUAUCUCUCAUGCAAAUGGACCGAAGUAUAACA